UACGGGGGGAGCAAGCGUUGUUCGGAUUUACUGGGCGUAAAGAGCGCGCAGGCGGUCGUGCAAGUCGCGUGUGAAAGCCCCCGGCUCAACUGGGGAGGGUCACGCGAUACUGCUCGACUCGAAGGCAGGAGAGGGAAGUGGAAUUCCCGGUGUAGUGGUGAAAUGCGUAGAUAUCGGGAGGAACACCAGUGGCGAAGGCGACUUCCUGGCCUGUUCUUGACGCUGAGGCGCGAAAGCUAGGGGAGCAAACGGG
rnacentral:rRNA from 1 species